rnacentral:rRNA from 1 species
GAUGAACGCUGGCGGCGUGCCUAAUACAUGCAAGUCGAGCGAACCACUUCGGUGGUGAGCGGCGAACGGGUGAGUAACACGUAGGUGAUCUGCCCAUCAGACGGGGACAACGAUUGGAAACGAUCGCUAAUACCGGAUAGGACGAAAGUUUAAAGGUGCUUCUGGCACCGCUGAUGGAUGAGCCUGCGGCGCAUUAGCUAGUUGGUAGGGUAAAGGCCUACCAAGGCGACGAUGCGUAGCCGACCUGAGAGGGUGAACGGCCACACUGGGACUGAGACACGGCCCAGACUCCUACGGGAGGCAGCAGUAGGGAAUCUUCGGCAAUGGGCGAAAGCCUGACCGAGCAACGCCGCGUGAAUGAUGAAGGCC